GAUUCUUUCCUGAUAGUAUUUAUGAUCUAGUGGCUAGGCUUAUUUAAAGAGAGCACUUGUCAGAGAAACAGAGAUAAAGAGAACUUGUUGUCUGUCAAAUGUCUUCGAGAGCUUAUUUAAGAAAAUGGAAACAGAGAAAGUUAUGAAAAUCGCUGUCCUGUCCUCUCUGGUAGUUUGACUGGCUAAGGAAAUUAUGUUUUACAAAAAUAUA